GAUGAACGCUGGCGGCGUGCCUAAUACAUGCAAGUCGAGCGAACGGACGAGAAGCUUGCUUCUCUGAUGUUAGCGGCGGACGGGUGAGUAACACGUGGAUAACCUACCUAUAAGACUGGGAUAACUUCGGGAAACCGGAGCUAAUACCGGAUAAUAUUUUGAACCGCAUGGUUCAAAAGUGAAAGACGGUCUUGCUGUCACUUAUAGAUGGAUCCGCGCUGCAUUAGCAAGUUGGUAAGGUAACGGCUUACCAAGGCAACGAUGCAUAGCCGACCUGAGAGGGUGAUCGGCCACACUGGAACUGAGACACGGUCCAGACUCCUACGGGAGGCAGCAGUAGGGAAUCUUCCGCAAUGGGCGAAAGCCUGACGGAGCAACGCCGCGUGAGUGAUGAAGGUCUUCGGAUCGUAAAACUCUGUUAUUAGGGAAGAACAUAUGUGUAAGUAACUGUGCACAUCUUGACGGUACCUAAUCAGAAAGCCACGGCUAACUACGUG
rnacentral:rRNA from 1 species